AUUGAACGCUGGCGGCAGGCUUAACACAUGCAAGUCGAGCGGAGAUGAGGUGCUUGCACCUUAUCUUAGCGGCGGACGGGUGAGUAAUGCUUAGGAAUCUGCCUAUUAGUGGGGGAUAACAUUCCGAAAGGAAUGCUAAUACCGCAUACGCCCUACGGGGGAAAGCAGGGGAUCUUCGGACCUUGCGCUAAUAGAUGAGCCUAAGUCGGAUUAGCUAGUGGGUGGGGUAAAGGCCUACCAAGGCGACGAUCUGUAGCGGGUCUGAGAGGAUGAUCGGCCAAACUGGGACUGAGACACGGCCCAGACUCCUACGGGAGGCAGCAGUGGGGAAUAUUGGACAAUGGGCGGAAGCCUGAACCAGCCAUGCCGCGUGUGUGAAGAAGGCCUUUUGGUUGUAAAGCACUUUAAGCGAGGAGGAGGCUACCUGGAUUAAUACUCUAGGAUAGUGGACGUUACUCGCAGAAUAAGCACCGGCUAACUCUGUGCCAGCCGCCGCCGUAACAC
rnacentral:rRNA from 1 species